GCCUGGCUAGCUCAGUUGGUAGAGCAUGAGACUCUUGGUUGUGGUUUCGAGCCCCACUUUGGGCG
rnacentral:tRNA from 1 species